GACGAACGCUGGCGGCGUGCUUAACACAUGCAAGUCGAACGGAAAGGCCCUGCUUUUGUGGUGUGCUCGAGUGGCGAACGGGUGAGUAACACGUGAGUAACCUGCCCUUGACUUUGGGAUAACUUCAGGAAACUGGGGCUAAUACCGGAUAGGAGCUCCUGCUGCAUGGUGGGGGUUGGAAAGUUUCGGCGGUUGGGGAUGGACUCGCGGCUUAUCAGCUUGUUGGUGGGGUAGUGGCCUACCAAGGCUUUGACGGGUAGCCGGCCUGAGAGGGUGACCGGCCACAUUGGGACUGAGAUACGGCCCAGACUCCUACGGGAGGCAGCAGUGGGGAAUAUUGCACAAUGGGCGGAAGCCUGAUGCAGCAACGCCGCGUGCGGGAUGACGGCCUUCGGGUUGUAAACCGCUUUCGCCUGUGACGAAGCGUGAGUGACGGUAAUGGGUAAAGAAGCACCGGCUAACUACGUG
rnacentral:rRNA from 1 species